rnacentral:rRNA from 1 species
CGGUGGAGCAUGUGGUUAAUUCGAUGAUACGCGAGGAACCUUACCUGGGCUCAAAUGUAUGUUGACGUAUUCUGAAAGGGAUACUUCUUCGGACAAUAUACAAGGUGCUGCAUGGUUGUCGUCAGCUCGGUGCCGUGAGGUGUCGGGUUAAGUCCCAUAACGAGCGCAACCCCUAUCAUUAGUUGCCAUCAGGUCAAGCUGGGGACUCUAAUGAAACUGCCUACGCAAGUAGUGAGGAAGGUGGGGAUGACGUCAAAUCAGCACGGCCCUUACGUCCAGGGCUACACACGUGCUACAAUGGCCGGUACAGAGCGCAGCGAGGCCGCGAGGCGGAGCGAAUCGCUUAAAGCCGGUCCCAGUACGGAUUGGAGUCUGCAACCCGACUCCAUGAAGUUGGAAUCGCUAGUAAUCGCGCAUCAGCAUGGCGCGGUGAAUACGUUCCCGGGCCUU